GAGUCGGACCUGCCCGGUGACCUACGGGUUAAACGGCCGCGGUACACUGACCGUGCAAAGGUAGCACAAUCACUUGCCUUUUAAUUGGAGGCUGGUAUGAAUGGUUUGACGAGGGCUGAGCUGUCUCUUUUGGAAUAUUUAAAAAUUAACGUUUAGGUGAAAAGGCCUAAAUUAAGCUGAGGGACGAGAAGACCCUGUUGAGCUUUAGUGUUGAACAAAAAACUGUACUCCUAGAGAAGUGUAGAGAGUUGGGAUUUGUUUUUACAUCUUUAGUUGGGGUGACUAGGGAACAUAAGUAGCUUCUCUGUUUCGUUGUUUAUAAGAUUGGGUUGACUAACUAAUGAUCCAGCAGUGCUGAUUAUCGGAAAAAGUUACCACAGGGAUAACAGCGUAAUCUUCUUGGAGAGUUCACAUUGAAAAGAGGGUUUGCGACCUCGAUGUUGGAUUAAGGUGUCCUAAGGGUGUAGCAGCUCUUAUUUGGUUGUCUGUUCGACCAUUAAAACCUU
rnacentral:rRNA from 1 species